CUGGCCCUGAAUCAACAGGGCCUAAAACACCUUCCUGAUGCUGUUGGUUUUAAGCAGAAGAGAUAUCUUUCUAUGGUCUGUUGGCCAUUUCAGAACUUGGGCAGUGAAAUGAUCAAUUCAUUAGACAGAAACAGCU
ensembl:snoRNA small nucleolar RNA SNORA2/SNORA34 family